ACAGUGGACGCGAGCAUCUGUGGCCAAGUUUUUAAGGGCGCACGGUGGAUGCCUUGGCACCAGGAACCGAUGAAGGACGUGGGAGGCCACGAUAGGCCCCGGGGAGCUGUCAACCGAGCUUUGAUCCGGGGGUGUCCGAAUGGGGAAAACCCGGCAGUCGUCAUGGGCUGUCACCCGCUGCUGAACACAUAGGCAGUGUGGAGGGAACGCGGGGAAGUGAAACAUCUCAGUACCCGCAGGAAGAGAAAACAACCGUGAUUCCGGGAGUAGUGGCGAGCGAAACCGGAUGAGGCCAAACCGUAUGUGUGUGAUACCCGGCAGGGGUUGCGCAUGCGGGGUUGUGGGAUCUCUUUUUCAUAGUCUGCCGGCUGUGAGACGAGUCAGAAACCGUUGAUGUAGGCGAAGGACAUGCGAAAGGUCCGGCGUAGAGGGUAAGACCCCCGUAGCUGAAACAUUGACGGCUCGUUUAAGAGACACCCAAGUAGCACGGGGCCCGAGAAAUCCCGUGUGAAUCUGGCGGGACCACCCGCUAAGCCUAAAUAUUCCCUGGUGACCGAUAGCGGAUAGUACCGUGAGGGAAUGGUGAAAAGUACCGCGGGAGCGGAGUGAAAUAGUACCUGAAACCGUGUGCCUACAAGCCGUGGGAGCGUCGCGCAUCGAGCUUGCUCGGUGCGUCGUGACUGCGUGCCUUUUGAAGAAUGAGCCUGCGAGUUUGCGGUAUGUUGCGAGGUUAACCCGUGUGGGGAAGCCGUAGCGAAAGCGAGUCCGAAUAGGGCGUUUGAGUAGCGUGCCCAAGACCCGAAGCGGAGUGAUCUAGCCAUGGGCAGGUUGAAGCGGAGGUAAGACUUCGUGGAGGACCGAACCCACCAGGGUUGAAAACCUGGGGAUGACCUGUGGUUAGGGGUGAAAGGCCAAUCAAACUCCGUGAUAGCUGGUUCUCCCCGAAAUGCAUUUAGGUGCAGCGUCGUGUGUUUCUUGCCGGAGGUAGAGCACUGGAUAGGCGAUGGGCCCUACCGGGUUACUGACCUUAGCCAAACUCCGAAUGCCGGUAAGUGAGAGCGCGGCAGUGAGACUGUGGGGGAUAAGCUCCAUGGUCGAGAGGGAAACAGCCCAGAGCAUCGACUAAGGCCCCUAAGCGUACGCUAAGUGGGAAAGGAUGUGGAGUCGCAGAGACAACCAGGAGGUUGGCUUAGAAGCAGCCACCCUUGAAAGAGUGCGUAAUAGCUCACUGGUCAAGUGAUUCCGCGCCGACAAUGUAGCGGGGCUCAAGCGUACCGCCGAAGUCGUGUCAUUGCAGUACAUACCCCCAACGGGGACUGUGAUGGGUAGGGGAGCGUCGUGUGCCGGGUGAAGCAGCCGCGGAAGCGAGUUGUGGACGGUUCACGAGUGAGAAUGCAGGCAUGAGUAGCGAUACACACGUGAGAAACGUGUGCGCCGAUUGACUAAGGGUUCCUGGGUCAAGCUGAUCUGCCCAGGGUAAGUCGGGACCUAAGGCGAGGCCGACAGGCGUAGUCGAUGGACAACCGGUUGAUAUUCCGGUACCCGCUUUGAAACGCCCAAUAUCGAAUCAGGCGAUGCUAAGUCCGUGAAGCCGCCCUGGAGUCUUCGGACAAAGGGGAGUGGUGGAGCCGACGAACCAGACUUGUAGUAGGUAAGCGAUGGGGUGACGCAGGAAGGUAGUCCAGCCCGGGCGGUGGUAGUCCCGGGGUAAGGGUGUAGGCCGUGUGAUAGGCAAAUCCGUCACACAUUAAGGCUGAGACCUGAUGCCGAGCCGAUUGUGGUGAAGUGGAUGAUCCUAUGCUGUCGAGAAAAGCCUCUAGCGAGUUUCAUGGCGGCCCGUACCCUAAACCGACUCAGGUGGUCAGGUAGAGAAUACCGAGGCGUUCGGGUGAACUAUGGUUAAGGAACUCGGCAAAAUGCCCCCGUAACUUCGG
rnacentral:rRNA from 1 species